rnacentral:rRNA from 1 species
GACGAACGCUGGCGGCGUGCUUAACACAUGCAAGUCGAACGGAAAGGCCCUGCUUUUGUGGGGUGCUCGAGUGGCGAACGGGUGAGUAACACGUGAGUAACCUGCCCUUGACUUUGGGAUAACUUCAGGAAACUGGGGCUAAUACCGGAUAGGAGCUCCUGCUGCAUGGUGGGGGUUGGAAAGUUUCGGCGGUUGGGGAUGGACGCGCGGCUUAUCAGCUUGUUGGUGGGGUAGUGGCUUACCAAGGCUUUGACGGGUAGCCGGCCUGAGAGGGUGACCGGCCACAUUGGGACUGAGAGACGGCCCAGACUCCUACGGGAGGCAGCAGGGGGGAAUAUUGCACAAUGGGCGGAAGCCUGAGGCAGCAACGCCGCGUGCGGGAUGACGGCCUUCGGGUUGUAAACCGCUUUCGCCUGUGACGAAGCGUGAGUGACGGUAAUGGGUAAAGAAGCACCGGCUAACUACGUG